CCCCAGCCUGCAGUGGGUACGGGCAGACUAGAGUGCGGUAGGGGAGAUUGGAAUUCCUGGUGUAGCGGUGGAAUGCGCAGAUAUCAGGAGGAACACCGAUGGCGAAGGCAGAUCUCUGGGCCGUAACUGACGCUGAGGAGCGAAAGGAUGGGGAGCAAACAGGCUUAGAUACCCUGGUAGUCCAUCCCGUAAACGUUGGGAACUAGUUGUGGGGUCCAUUCCACGGAUUCCGUGACGCAGCUAACGCAUUAAGUUCCCCGCCUGGGGAGUACGGCCGCAAGGCUAAAACUCAAAGGAAUUGACGGGGACCCGCACAAGCGGCGGAGCAUGCGGAUUAAUUCGAUGCAACGCGAAGAACCUUACCAAGGCUUGACAUAUACGAGAACGGGCUAGAAAUAGUCAACUCUUUGGACACUCGUAAACAGGUGGUGCAUGGUUGUCGUCAGCUCGUGUCGUGAGAUGUUGGGUUAAGUCCCGCAACGAGCGCAACCCUCGUUCUAUGUUGCCAGCACGUAAUGGUGGGAACUCAUGGGAUACUGCCGGGGUCAACUCGGAGGAAGGUGGGGAUGACGUCAAAUCAUCAUGCCCCUUAUGUCUUGGGCUUCACGCAUGCUACAAUGGCCGGUACAAAGGGCUGCAAUACCGUAAGGUGGAGCGAAUCCCAAAAAGCCGGUCCCAGUUCGGAUUGAGGUCUGCAACUCGACCUCAUGAAGUCGGAGUCGCUAGUAAUCGCAGAUCAGCAACGCUGCGGUGAAUACGUUCCCGGGUCUUGUACACACCGCCCGUCAGUCAUGAAAGUCGGUAACACCUGAAGCCGGUGGCCCAACCCUUGUGGAGGGAGCCGUC
rnacentral:rRNA from 1 species